UGGCCUGUGGCUCAGUGGUAGAGCACUUGCCUUACACCUAAGAACCUGGGUUCCAACCCCAGAAGUCAAG
rnacentral:tRNA from 1 species